rnacentral:rRNA from 1 species
AACGAACGCUGGCGGCAUGCCUAACACAUGCAAGUCGAACGAGACCUUCGGGUCUAGUGGCGCACGGGUGCGUAACGCGUGGGAAUCUGCCCCUUGGUUCGGAAUAACAGCGAGAAAUUGCUGCUAAUACCGGAUAAUGACGUAAGUCCAAAGAUUUAUCGCCAAGGGAUGAGCCCGCGUAGGAUUAGCUAGUUGGUGUGGUAAAGGCGCACCAAGGCGACGAUCCUUAGCUGGUCUGAGAGGAUGAUCAGCCACACUGGGACUGAGACACGGCCCAGACUCCUACGGGAGGCAGCAGUGGGGAAUAUUGGACAAUGGGCGAAAGCCUGAUCCAGCAAUGCCGCGUGAGUGAUGAAGGCCUUAGGGUUGUAAAGCUCUUUUACCCGGGAUGAUAAUGACAGUACCGGGAGAAUAAGCUCCGGCUAACUCCGUGCCAGCAGCCGCGGUAAAGUGACUACUG